GUUAGACUGAGAGGGAGUGAGAUUUGAGAAGUGCAUGAGGAGGGGUGGGAAGCGGAGAAGACAGAGCAUGGUUGAUAUUCCACCAAAUGGAUAAGAGGCAGACAAAGUUUGGCACGUUUAUGCUUUCAGUGGUUGACGGACAUGAAUGAAAGAGUAAACACAGUUUUUAGCGUAGUAAGGUAUCACAAAUGAAUAACUCAGUAUUAAUUAUCCACUGCGCGAAAUCUCCAUGAGGGCACAAGUCUGCAUGACAAUUUUUGCGUAAAGCGAUGCAGCGCGGGAGAGCGGACUUGUAGCCUGGCAGGCGCCAGCAGCGACACCAUCCCUCUACCUACCAAACUGAGAUGCAUUCCUAACCCUCAGUGCUUGUGUGACGGGUGGUGGGGGUGACGAAGAUGGAUGAGGAUUUCCUGAGCAGUACCCUGACUGCCUCUGAAUCAGACCUGUCCUCGUCUUCUUUCUUGACAUUGGAGGCGAAGGCAGCCUUCAUCUUUGUCCUCAUUCUCUUCCUCGUCCUGGGUCUCCUGAUCGUACGCUGCUUCCGUAUCUUACUCGACCCUUACCGCAGCAUGCCCUCCUCUACCUGGACUGACUACAUGGAGAAGGACACCUUUGAUUACCGUAUUGCCUGAGGGGUCCUUCCUUAUCAAGGCUUCUGCACUGCAUUGCCUGAGGGGCUGGUGACCAGAGCGGUUGCAUUGCCAAAGAAACAUCCAAGAGAACUAACUAAGAGAACUUCCACGUGUCCGGAUUCAGCACGAUGAAAAACCUUUGCUUGAGGAGCUCUACUAUGAGGCAGGGACGACGGCAGUGGGAGGUUCUUCACCUCUGCCACAGGGGGAUCACAGUGUUUCCUAAGCCCUUAAACAUUUCAGAUAUACUGUAAUGCCAGAGGGGUCCUUCACUGGGGCUACAAGGGUAGCUGGUGUAUUGCCCGAGGGACAGUCUACAGUAACUGAAAUAGAAAAUCUGUUUUCCUCUUAAAGGAACAGGGGGAGCCUGUCAUCUCCUGAAGCAAGCGAUAUAACUGGUCCAGUGACUGAGCACAGCUUAAUCAUUAGAGAAGUCCAUCUUUUUGUACACAGGCCUUUCAGAUUUGUGUUCUAAAAUGGCCUAGGUUGACUGUACUUAUUCAGUCAGUCACACACACAGUCAGUCAGUCAGUCAGUCAGUCAGACACACACACACACACACACACACACACACACACACACACACACACACACACACACACACACACACACACACACACACACACACACACACACACACACACACACACAAUCAGACUACCCCGGCUCCGAUGCUCGUCUUAUGUGGCAGGGCUUGCAAACUAUUACAGACUACAAAGGGAAGCACAGCCGCGAGCUACCCAGUGACACGAGCCUACCAGACGAGCUAAAUCUUCACUGACAUUUUCAACAUGUCCCUGAUUGAGUCUGUAAUACCAGCAUGUUUCAAGCAGACCACCAUAGUCCCUGUGCUCAAGAAUACAAAGGCAACCUGCCUAAAUGACUACAGACCCGUAGCACUCACAUCCGUAGCCAUGAAGUGCUUUGAAAGGCUGGUAAUGACUCACACAUGACUCACUCACAUAUCCCAGAAACCCUAGACCCACUCCAAUUUGCAUACCGUCCAAACAGAUCCACAGAUGAUACAAUCUCUAUUGCACUCCACACUGCCCUUUCCCACCUGGACAAAAGGAACACAUAUGUGAAAAUGCUCAGCGUUCUACAGCUCAGUGUUCAACUCCAUAGUACCCUCAAAGCUCAUCACUAAGCUAAGGAUCCUGGGACUAAACACCUCCCUCUGCAACUGGAUCCUGGACUUCCUGACGGGCCGUCCCCAGGUGGUAAGGGUAGGUAGCAACACAUCUGCCACGCUGAUCCUCAACACUGGAGCCCCCCAGGGGAGCGUGUUCAGUCCCCUCCUGUACGCCCUGUUCACCCACGACUGCAUUGCCAGGCACGACUCCAACACCAUCAUUAAGUUUGCAGAUGACACAACAGUGGUAGGCCUGAUCACCAACAACGACGAUACAGCCCAUAGGGAGGAGGUCAGAGACCUGGCCGGGUGGUGCCAGAAUAACAACCUCUCCCUCAACGUAACCAAGACUAAGGAGAUGAUUGUGGACUACAGGACAAGGAGGACUGAGUACGCCCCCAUUCUCAUCGACGGGGCUGUAAUGGAGCAGGUUGAGAGCUUCAAGUUCCUUGGUGUCCACAUCCCCAACAAACUAGAAAAGUCCAAACACACCAAGACAGUCGUGACGAGGGCACAACAAAGCCUAUUCCUCCUCAGGAAACUAAAAAGAUUUGGCAUGGGUCCUGAGAUCCUUAAAAGGUUCUACAGCUGCAACAUCGAGAGCAUCCUGACUGGUUGCAUCACUGCCUGGUUGGUACGGCAAUUGCUCGGCCUCUUACCGCAAGGCACUACAGAGGGUAGUGUGUACGGCCCAGUACAUCACUGGGGCUAAGCUGCCCUCCAUCCAGGACUUCCACACCAAGCGGUGUCAGAGGAAGUCCCUAAAAAUUGUCAAAGACCCCAGCCACCCCAGUCAUAGACUGUUCUCUCUACUACCGCAUGGCAAGUGGUACCAGAAUGCCAAGUCUAGGACAAAAAGUCUUCUCAACAGUCCUGAACAGGCAGAGCAGGCAACAGAUGGCACACAGACAGCAGAGUUGGGGACAGAUAUGCAGGGACAGACUGGCAGAGACAGGGAGUCUCAGGUAAGUUUGUUGAGUCUUUGUUUGGCAACAUUAUGAAAGGUUCUCAAUUUUUUUUACUUGUAAAAUAGGAACAUAAUUGGAAAAUGCCAUGGAUACCCCCACUCUCAACUUAAACUGGUGACUGAACUAAGAUUUGUUAAAGGCAAUGGUAUUGCUGUUGUGAUUAGUUGUGUAGUUUUGGGUAUCGGUAGUUAAGAAUAUGGCAAACACCUUAUUUCUUUGGUUCCUCAAUAUACAUUUACCAUAUUACAAUGUAGGCUAUGUGUUACAGCACUACUUUUGGUGUCCCGCUCAGGAAUUGCUCUUGAGAAAAUUUCAUGUAAUUGUCCCCUCCAAAGUUGAUAUCAGAUUUUCGCCCCUGCUUUAAUGCCUCCAGCGUGUCAGAGUGUGCUCUGGGCCGUUCGUAAAUUUAGAGCGUUGUCAGAUUGUCUAAUUCGUCAAUUUGAACGUUUCACUCUCGGAGCGUUCAGAGCGCACACUGGACGCUCUGGCUGAGGAGUAGGGUUGACCCGAGCGUUCUGACCUCACAACGGCAGUCAAGCACCCAAGCUAACUGGCUAACAUUGGCUAGCUUGCUAGCUACUUCCAGACACAAAUGAGAGCACACCUCACUCUGACCAUUUCACUCGCCCUAGCGGAGCUGGUUUGAGUGCUUUCAUGUUAUCUAGAGCAUUAUAGUGACUGUAACUGUGCUUUUGACAACAAUUUAAUUACGUACUUUUGCCAAUGUUUACUAACCCCUGUCAUAUUCAACGGGUGUUGCGCGUUGAACAAGAGCGCUCUGAAAAGCAGAGUUGAUAGCCAGAGUGAAUUUACAAACGAAAAGCUUGUUUACAUUUGACAAACUGGUGGUGGAACAGCUUGGAAGCCUACAGUAUAGAGACAUAAAACAUGUGUUGCCCUUUAAGACAGUUAACCUCUGAGUGAGUUCUGCAUCCAUAUUCUCUGAUGAGAGCUUCCUGUUAAGAUGAGCUGCUCCUCUACCCGCAACGAGGCUCAGAUGAUCCGAGUUGUUUCGGGAAUUGGAAAUGUGUGUUACUGUAUGUGAUUAAAUUGGGCCAUUUUUUAUUUUUUUUUGCAGAUCCCAAACCUUAGAACAUGUUUGGCCCUCCUUUGACGCUCUAGACCAGGGAUGGGCGACUUUGAUGGGGGUGGGGGUGUCACUUUUCAUGAACCCAUCAUGAUGGGCCGCGGUGGCACGCGGGUCUGCGUACCCACAUCCACACACACACAUGCAGUCAGAGCCAAUCCUAGCCUUUUCGGGGCCCUAAGCGGAAUGUUUUUUGGUGUGUUCUUUGGGGGAAAUUCAUCUGCAGGCCUACAAAAGGGCCAGUUAGCCACCCCUGCUCUAGUAUGGACGUUAGGCAUGUUAACCAAGGAGGAUGACACUAUUAUUGCAUUAGGUCAUAAGUCAUUGGACAUAAAUGUCCAUACAGAAGUGGACAUUUUUUUUUGCAUUGGAAAUGUAUUCCACUGUAACUCUUACUACAUACAUUGUCUCAAUGCAAAUGUUUGGAUACAGAUUCGGGGAUUGGGGGUCAAAUUACAUUAGAAACAAACUUCUGUUCCAUUCUAGACUUCAUGUGUAGAAAUAAAAUAACAAAAUGUAUUGAAUUACUCUAUAUAGUGUAUUUUGUUGUUAUUGAGAGCUAUUAUAACAGGAUAAGCCUGCUGUUUACGUACAAUAGUCCAG
rnacentral:lncRNA from 1 species